rnacentral:rRNA from 1 species
UAGGGAAUAUUGCACAAUGGGGGAAACCCUGAUGCAGCAACGCCGCGUGAGUGAUGACGGCCUUCGGGUUGUAAAGCUCUUUCUUCAGGGACGAUAAUGACGGCACCGGGGGAGGAAGCCACGGCUAACUACGUGCCAGCAGCCGCGGUAAUACGUAGGUGGCGAGCGUUGUCCGGAUUUACUGGGCGUAAAGGGAGCGUAGGCGGACUUUUAAGUGAGAUGUGAAAUACCCGGGCUCAACUUGGGUGCUGCAAUUCAAACUGGAAGUCUAGAGUGCAGGAGAGGAGAAUGGAAUUCCUAGUGUAGCGGUGAAAUGCGUAGAGAUUAGGAAGAACACCAGUGGCGAAGGCGAUUCUCUGGACUGUAACUGACGCUGAGGCUCGAAAGCGUGGGGAGCAAACA